CUGCAAGCUCGCCGGCUCGACUUCCUGCUGGCCGCCCCCAGCGCCAACGCCCCUGCCUUUUCCCCAUCUCCCUCGCCGUGCUCCUUCUACUGGUUUCCCAUGGUCGUCACGCGCCUAGCUCUGCCAUGGUCGCGCCCUCCCUUUUUCUUCCAGCCCGCGCAAGUUUUUCUGCUCAUCUCCCUUGGUGGCCGAGCUCCAGUGCCACGCCCAUGCUCAGCUCCCUGCUCGUUGCCGCGUUCCCUGCCGCGCGUUGAGCAUCCCGCCAGCGCUCAGCUCCGUCCUUUCUUCUUCUGUUCGCUCACGCGCAGGCGCGCUUCGCCGAGCUCGCCCCUGCACGUCCUGCUCGCCCCUGCUUUUCUUUGUUGGCCGCUGCGCAGCUCUAGCUUGGAUUUCGCUGCGCGCUCCUUAGUUCGACACCCGGUGCUGCUCCAUGGAUGGCCGAUGUUGCUCCAUCGGUUCGCGCUCGCCGCGCACAUGGCCGGAGCUUUUCCCUGCGUCGCGCGCGUUCCGUCAUCUUUUGCUGUGACUUCGUGUCGUGAAGUUUCCCUGCACGCGUCGAGCUUCCAUGCCGAAUCCUUUUUCCAGUUUGUCGUGCUGCGUCGUCAUCGCUUCCUGUCGCGAGCUCGAUCCCCGUUGUCAUCGGGCUUCACACGUGCUCGCGUUUGUCAUCAAGCUUCGCCUUGCCGGUCGUCAUUCUUCGCUCUGCAAGAUUUUGUUCUAAACUAA
rnacentral:misc_RNA from 1 species